UGGGGAAUAUUGCACAAUGGGCGAAAGCCUGAUGCAGCAACGCCGCGUGAGUGAUGAAGGCCUUCGGGUUGUAAAGCUCUGUCUUUUGGGACGAUAAUGACGGUACCAAAGGAGGAAGCCACGGCUAACUACGUGCCAGCAGCCGCGGUAAUACGUAGGUGGCAAGCGUUGUCCGGAUUUACUGGGCGUAAAGGAUGCGUAGGCGGAUUUUUAAGUGAGAUGUGAAAACCCUAAGCUUAACUUGGGGACUGCAUUUCAUACUGGAAAUCUAGAGUGCGGGAGAGGAGAAUGGAAUUCCUAGUGUAGCGGUGAAAUGCGUAGAGAUUAGGAAGAACACCAGUGGCGAAGGCGAUUCUCUGGACCGUAACUGACGCUGAGGCAUGAAAGCGUGGGUAGCAAACAGGAUUAGAUACCCUGGUAGUCCACGCCGUAAACGAUGAGUACUAGGUGUAGGAGGUAUCGACCCCUUCUGUGCCGCAGUUAACACAAUAAGUACUCCGCCUGGGAAGUACGAUCGCAAGAUUAAAACUCAA
rnacentral:rRNA from 1 species